rnacentral:rRNA from 1 species
GACGAACGCUGGCGGCGUGCCUAAUACAUGCAAGUCGAACGCAGUGGGGACGGGUGAGUAACACGUGGGUAACCUCCCAUCAGAGGGGAUAACACUUGGAAACAGGUGCUAAACCGAUAUUGAUGGUUGGACCCGCGGUGCAUUAGCUAGUUGGUGAGGUAACGGCUCACAAAGGCCACGAUGCAUAGCGGGCGUGAGAGGGUGAUCGGCCACCCGGGGACUGAGACACGGCCCAGACUCCUGAGGGAGGCAGCAGUAGGGAAUCUUCGGCAAUGGACAGAAGUCUGACCGAGCAACGCCGCGUGAGUGAAGAAGGUUUUCGGAGCGUAAAACUCUGUUGUUAGAGAAGCGGUAUCUAACAAGAAAGCCACGGCUAACUACGUGCCAGCAGCCGCGGUAAUUC